ACAGGGCUCGAGAAAGGGAUGGAAAGUGAGUUCACCUGAUCUUGGAAGCUGAGAACGGGCUGACCUGGUUGGAAGGUGGAUGGAGAAGAAGCAGCAAGGAACUCCUCAUGGGUUGGAUGAGGCUCAGCUCUGCUCCAUGGGAGUCAAGGUGAUGGGGAGAAAGUUGAGUGAUGACCCAAAAGACGUUUGCAUUUCUAGCAGUGUCCAUGGCUCAGCUGCAGCCCAGGAAGUGCCCAGGUCCUGGGUACAUAGCGACGGGAGGAGCAUUGAUCUGCUAGAAGCUGUGCCAAGGUCCGUGGGAACCGCAACCCCUUCCCCUCGACAUCUCGCCAGCAGCACUGGAUUAAUCUCUGAGAACAAGCACUCUGGGUUCCCAGAGGCAAAACAGGCUUUUGAUUUCUAUGAGCUAAGACUCCUCUGCAGGAGCGUGGUCUUGUGCCUUACUGUCAUUGCUUCUUACAAGGAUCACAUAAGCCAAAGAUCCCAGGAACCUCCUGUGGGCAAAUAAGAAGAACAGGGUAAAGUUGUGGGGUGGACAAGGGAGUGACGCUGGAUACAGCUAUUCCUGAAAGCGCUUACACUUGACACUAAGUUAAUAGAGUCUCUCUCUCACUC
ensembl:antisense Csmd2os CUB and Sushi multiple domains 2, opposite strand